GAAGCAAUGCAUGAUAUGUGUUUGGUAGUGGAGGAGAAGAAUACAGAAAUUGAAGAAGAACUGGAAUGCUUGAGGGUGGAAUACAAACUGAUGGCAGAGAGAAACGUCGCAUUGGAAGAAUCGGGACAAC
rnacentral:SRP_RNA from 1 species